UACGGGGGGGGCAAGCGUGGUUCGGAAUUACUGGGCGUAAAGGGCUCGUAGGUGGCCAACUAAGUCAGACGUGAAAUCCCUCGGCUUAACCGGGGAACUGCGUCUGAUACUGGAUGGCUUGAGUUUGGGAGAGGGACGCGGAAUUCCAGGUGUAGCGGUGAAAUGCGUAGAUAUCUGGAGGAACACCCGUAGCGAAGGCGGCACUCUGGGCCGAUUCUGACACUGAGGAGCGAAAGCGUGGGGAGCGAACAGG
rnacentral:rRNA from 1 species